CGGCAGGCCUAACACAUGCAAGUCGAGCGGCAGCGGGAAAGUAGCUUGCUACUUUUGCCGGCGAGCGGCGGACGGGUGAGUAAUGCCUGGGAAAUUGCCCAGUCGAGGGGGAUAACAGUUGGAAACGACUGCUAAUACCGCAUACGCCCUACGGGGGAAAGCAGGGGACCUUCGGGCCUUGCGCGAUUGGAUAUGCCCAGGUGGGAUUAGCUAGUUGGUGAGGUAAUGGCUCACCAAGGCGACGAUCCCUAGCUGGUCUGAGAGGAUGAUCAGCCACACUGGAACUGAGACACGGUCCAGACUCCUACGGGAGGCAGCAGUGGGGAAUAUUGCACAAUGGGGGAAACCCUGAUGCAGCCAUGCCGCGUGUGUGAAGAAGGCCUUCGGGUUGUAAAGCACUUUCAGCGAGGAGGAAAGGUCAGUAGCUAAUAUCUGCUGNGCUGUGACGUUACUCG
rnacentral:rRNA from 1 species